CUGGGCGUAGCUAAAUUGGAUUAGCACCUGUCUUCUAAACAGGAGUUAUGCGGGUUCAAGUCCCGCCGCCCAGGCCA
rnacentral:tRNA from 1 species